CCCAUUCAAAAAAAAUUUCGGUUUCAAACAAGGCCAAGUAUAAAAAAAAGGACAAGAAAUAAAAUGCUAAGAAAUGUGUAGUAAAGCUAAUGAAUUCUAAGAAUUGAUUGGUUUGGUUGAACAAAAUGGUAAGCAUAAUCAUAAGCAACAACUUUUCCGUUGCUUUCAUGACUUUUUCUGCCUCUCUUUAAUGAUAAUUUAUGGGUACACGACACAUAUGUCUGCUCUGCUUUCUCCUUCCUCAGCUUCGUUUUUAUUUCCCCCUACCCUUCUCACUGUUGCUCCUUAAUUUGCUCCACAUCAACUGUGAACCUUUAUAUUAUAAAUAUCCAAGGCGUGGAGAAUGGAUCAUUAAUCUACCUAUAAACCUUAAUGAAUACAGAAAAUACCAUAAUUUUAGACUGUCAUCAAGAAAAAGAUAUCAAUAAGUAGUUAAUUUAAUGAUAUUGAAAUUGUUUAUAGGAUUGAAAAUUAAAUGAAGGAGAUGAUGAUACAUCAAAUGUGUGCACUCUCAUAUAAUUACCUUGUAGCAUCUAUUGUUUCUUAUAAUAGCUGCUUCCAUUACCACAAUGCUCGUGCUCUAUCAAUAAAUCAUAAACUUGAUGUGCUGAUACCUCAUCAACAAUGCAUAAUUAGAGAAACCCUCGAACUUUCUCCUUGUCUAAUAAAGAAAUUUGAAAAAUGAAAUGAUCAAUAAUCCACCAUUAGUGGAAUUAUUCAAUUAGUUAGUAUAAAUUAAUGCUGAAUAGGACCCACAUUCCAUGCCUCAUCUUAGAAUUUUACUGAUCCUUGAUUGAUCGAGUAGAACAGCUUACCUUAGCUAGCUUAGCUUAGCAGCAACAACAACAACAAAACAAGACAAGG
rnacentral:misc_RNA from 1 species